rnacentral:rRNA from 1 species
CAGUAGCCGCGGGAAUACGUAGGUGGCAAGCGUUGUCCGGAAUUAUUGGGCGUAAAGGGCUCGCAGGCGGUUUCUUAAGUCUGAUGUGAAAGCCCCCGGCUCAACCGGGGAGGGUCAUUGGAAACUGGGAAACUUGAGUGCAGAAGAGGAGAGUGGAAUUCCACGUGUAGCGGUGAAAUGCGUAGAGAUGUGGAGGAACACCAGUGGCGAAGGCGACUCUCUGGUCUGUAACUGACGCUGAGGAGCGAAAGCGUGGGGAGCGAACAGGAUUAGAUACCCGAGUAGUCCCUGUCUCUUAUAC